CAAUCAUAUUGAGUGGUUCCAAUGGCGCAGGAAGAAAUGACAGCAGUUUUAUGGGCGCCCAACCAAUUGUGCUAUUAUGUGGGUUUUUGCGUUAUUUGUAACUUAUUUUGUACAUAAUGUUUCUGCAACCGUAUUUUAUGGCAAAAAAAGAGCUUCUGAAUAUCAGGACAGCGAUCACUCACCUUGGAUAAGACUAAGGUUUUUUCUUCAGCAAGCAAGACGCACAGGACAUUCUCCAAACACCCGACAGGGCCAACAUCCCCAUUAUUUUUAAGAGGAAGCGAAGCAGGUGCAGAGGACAAAGUAUAACUGGUCAGGACCCGAAAAAGGUGAGGCGCUGCAGUGCUAUGGCUGUAACAUCCUCCAGGGGCAGAUGUACGUGGAUGUGGGCUGCUCCAGCCCCAAGGUCAUCACUUGCUCCCACUCACACAAAGGCUUCAAGCACCGCUUCUGCAUUAAGACAGAGAGCAGUGCCAUGGGAAUCAUUCUGACCAGCGGUUGUGCCACGUCUCAGCACUGCCAACAGGAGCUACCCGGGGUCUGGAUCCACUGUUGUGUUUCAGACCUUUGCAACAGCACCCCCCACUGGCGCAGAACGACCUUACACUGGCUGUGCUCUUUGGCUACCCUGCUGCUCGUACUGUGGCUGCAAGUGUGAGAGAGAAUUUUGGAGCAGAGUAACACUGACUAACCCCCACUUCAGCCCUACUGUGUCCUAGACCAAAGCCAUUGGAGGAUCAAUAAGAGGCAUGCACCUGCAUGGAUACCUAGUGGAUGAGAAUACAAUCUUUAUGCAUUGGCAAGCCUGUGAAUAUUGUUAUUUUCAGUUUCCAUGUGCAUCAUAUUCUUUACGAGGCCACAAUGAGAUUAUGAAGGUAGUUGGUCCAAGAAGCGUGUAUGUUGCUAAUAUAUUGGUGCCAAUAACGUUGUGAGUGUUGAUACAGUAUAUUUCAAUAGGGUCAUAUGUUGGGGUUGUGGGGGGAGACAGAGUGGAACAGAGAUUGGGUGAUGUUUUGGAGAUACAUUUUGUUUAAAUGGCUAAAUAGGUGUUUCUCUCGGCACAAAAUACAUGCUUUCAUAAAUGGCAUUGUUCAUUUUCAUUUACCUAUUUGGUCAGAUUAAGUCAAAUCAAGCUUUAUUUAUACAGCGCAUUUCAGACAUGGAAUGCAACGCAAUGCGCUUUACAGGACAAAUCUAAAUAAAAAAUGAUAAUAAAAGCUGAAAUAUUUACUACACAAACAUAAGUUAAAAAACAAAUGAAUGACAACCUGAACUAAAAAGGAAAAUCAAAGCUAAAAAUAUGUGUUAUAAGAUCUUUUAAAUAUGUCCACAAUUUUGCCACCCCUCAGGUUCUCCGGCAGGGUCCUAUUCUGUAUGUCCAGUAGAGGGCAACACCUUCGCCCCCAUGUAGGUUACAGACAUAGGAUACUCUCUUUACUUUCAUGUUAAAUUGCCUACUUCACGCAUUAACUCGACAAUGGCAGUAUUCUUUAAAACAAAAAUUCUAUAAACAUUUUAGAUAUGAUUGGUUGGUCAUUUUUAACAUCUAUGUCGUCUAAAUCAACAAACUACAUCGUACCUGAAAACACUUUCAUGCUCAUACAUUUUUUUGUAUGAACAGCUAGACUGUUGAAUGGAAUGUACAUCAUGAUUAUCAGCCAAAGAGUCGAUUCCAACGGACUUAUUUCAAUUAGCUAACUAACCCUACUUGUAAGAUGCCAAAAAACCUGUUGCAUACCAUUUUGUUUGAAUAAUAGUAGGAGAAAAUAUCACCAAAUUAAGUUUCAUCAACUGCACAAGGAUCAGUUUAGAUGAAACCUAUGGUUUCAGGCACAGGGGAGGUUGGUGGGACCAUAAUUGGGGACGAUGGGCUUGUGGUAAUGCCUGGAGCGGAAUCAUUGGAAUGGUACUAAAUACAUCAAACAUAUAGUUUCCAUGUGUUUGAUGCCAUUCUAGGUGCUCCGUUUCAGCCAUUAUAAUGAGCCGUCCUCCCCUAAGCUGCCUCCACUGGUUUCCGGCUAUUAGGCUGCUAUGAUGAUGGAAACCUGUGGGCUCCGCUUCCUCGAUACAUUUAUGUGCGUUCAAGCACUUUAUCAUCGAUAAGUCGCUUUGCAUAAAUCUUACUUGUUAGCUUGUAGAAAGGACUAGUAAGUGUAACGGAUGUGAAACGGCUAGCUUAGUUAGCGGUGUGCGCUAAAUAGCGUUUCAAUCGGUUACGUCACUUGCUCUGAGACCUUGAAGUAGUA